rnacentral:rRNA from 1 species
GACGAACGCUGGCGGCGUGCUUAACACAUGCAAGUCGAGCGGAAAGGCCCCUUCGGGGGUACUCGAGCGGCGAACGGGUGAGUAACACGUGGGUAACCUGCCCCAAAGCCCGGGAUAACGUUUCGAAAGGAACGCUAAUACCGGAUGUUGUGCAACCUGCCAAGCGGGUUGUACCAAAGGUAGCUUCGGCCUCCGCUUUGGGAUGGGCCCGCGUAGCAUUAGCUUGUUGGUGGGGUAACGGCCUACCAAGGCUACGAUGCUUAGCUGGUCUGAGAGGACGAUCAGCCACACUGGGACUGAGAUACGGCCCAGACUCCUACGGGAGGCAGCAGUGGGGAAUCUUGCGCAAUGGGCGAAAGCCUGACGCAGCAACGCCGCGUGAGCGAAGAAGGCCUUCGGGUUGUAAAGCUCUGUCAGGAGGGACGAAGCCACUCGGGUUAAUAGCCCAGAGGGUGACGGUACCUCCAGAGGAAGGUCCGGCUAACUACGUGCCAGCAGCCGCGGUAAUACGUAGGGACCUAGCGUUGUCCGGAAUUAUUGGGCGUAAAGAGCGUGUAGGCGGCUUGCCAAGUCCGAUGUGAAAACUCGGGGCUUAACCCCGAGCCUGCAUUGGAAACUGGCUUGCUUGAGUCCGGAAGAGGGGACUGGAAUUCCUGGUGUAGCGGUGAAAUGCGCAGAUAUCAGGAAGAACACCCGUGGCGAAGGCGGGUCCCUGGGACGGUACUGACGCUGAGACGCGAAAGCGUGGGGAGCGAACAGGAUUAGAUACCCUGGUAGUCCACGCCGUAAACGAUGGGCACUAGGUGUGGGAGGUGUCGACUCCUUCCGUGCCGUAGCUAACGCAUUAAGUGCCCCGCCUGGGGAGUACGGCCGCAAGGCUA